GGGGCCUUCCCGGGUGGGCUCGCUUGGAGGGGAAGGGCGAGGGGACAGUCAGUGGUUUAGGGGCGAAAGAGGUACUCAGGAUAGGAAAUUGAAAUCCGAGUGUUAGAGAGAAGUGGGAACCCGAGAGGUUGUGAGUGCAGCAGGGGCGGGAUUUGGAGCGUGGGAACUGAAGUGCUCCCCCAAAUGCAGAUCUGAUCCGAUCUGAUCUUGCCUAUGCUGAUGCUUACCACUGUACAGGCGAAAUGAAGUCCCUGCUGCUCGGAGAUUAGAGUCAGGCGAGCGAGACUCUAGCGUCGGUGCAAAAUUUAGGAGAGCACCAGAAAACUGAAGAUCAGUCAUUAUUUUAAUAUAGUAUUUUUUAAAAAGCCAAACGACUGCCCCCCCCCCCGAAUUCCUGCAUCACUCGCCUCAUUCUCAUCCCACCCCUGGGUCCAGUACAACUCAGUUGCCUACACAGUCUGAACAAGUACCUUAAAUCGAUGAAGCAGAGAUUGGGGGAAUUGUUGCCUACCCCAGACCCUUCUCUCAGCCCCAGCCAAGUGUUUGCCCUAUCUCUUCAAAUUGCCACAAAUCGAGACUUUGUGAUAAAUAUCUCGAGUUGUAAAUGUUAGUUAUACGUGUCUAAAGUUUUAAUUUGCAAGCCAAACGAAUCCCACAGUGAAGCCAGAUUCAGCCUGUGGGUAGCCAAUUGUAAUGGCUGAUCCAAUGGCCUCUUAAAUAUGCCCUUUUGUGCUCCCCACCCACUUCAAGCUUCUGGAGUGUUCCUUCCUCCCUUCCCCUCAUCUCCUCUGUAUUUCUCUAUGAGUUUCUUUAUUCUUAUACCUGGCACAGUGGAUUUAGUAUUUGAGUUUAUGCACCUUUCCCAGUAAAUUGUGUUUCUGAGUGGUUCUACAUUCUCCCUACAGGGAAUAUUCCAGAACUUUGAACAUAAUGGAUACUCGAUUUUUAAAAGUCUUGAAAACACAGUCGAGCCAAAAAUGUGGUGCUUCAGCCAAAUGACAGUUCUGCAGAGAACUGCUCGGUGGCAGGGUGCCUAUAAUACCUUUUCACCGACACUUGCAUCUUCAAGAUUAUCAGGGACCUUUUGGAUACUAACUCUAUGGGACACUUUGAAGUCCCAUACUUGGCUUGACGGCCUUACUUGACCAUUUUGUAGCCAUUUGAUAGUGUUGGACACUACUUUAAUUUUGAAACUCUCUUCUACCUUGGAUUUCACAACACCUUGCUCUCUUGCUGACCCUUCAGAAGUAUUGAAAUUCUGGAUACUCCUCUACAUCUCUGUGUUAAGACCCCUCAUUUGCCUGUGUGUGUGUGUGUGUGUGUGUGUGUGUGUUCAACUCCUUAAUCUUUUAUUUCAGAAAAUUUCAAACUACAGAAAAGUCUAAGCACAGGUAUAUACUUCACCUAGAGUCAUCAGUUGUUAAUGUUUUGUUACAUUCACUAUAUACACGUACACACAUACUUUUCUUUUUUCAGAACAGUUUGAAAAUAAGUUGCAAACAUCAUCACACUCAAUCCAGAAACACUUCAGCUUUUAUCUCUGCAAGGCAAGGACAUUCCCCUACAUACCCAUAUGUUACAGGUUCAGUGCUUCAGGAAGUCAUUUCUGAGUGGAGGUCAGCCGGCAGGUUUAUUAAGGAGUGCUCCUGGGAUCAUCCCCUGUGCAAGGGGAGGGGAUUGCAAUCACGUUCAGGGCCAAUCCCAGGGGAAUUCUAACGCUGGGUUGGUGUUUCAGAUCUGUCAUGAGUUGGCACAAGGGGGCUGGGUCUUCACGUUCCCAUGUUGAUAAGUUAUUGUAUGAGGGCUGCCCCGGAAAGGGUGUGUGAUCUUGGGCAAACGUGUUCUCUCCUGAGGCAAUUCAGGGAAAUGUCAAGUCCUUCAUUCCUGCAGGGAUCUGAGCAGCACAUAAGAUUCAGUCCUGUCUUGUCCUAGUAUGUUCGGGCUACCAUAACAAAAUACUACAAGGUGGGUAACUUACAAACAACGGAAAUUGAUUUCUCACAGUUCUAGAGGCUGCAAGUCUGAGCUCAGGGUGCAGGCACGGUUCUCUUCUGGGUGGCGGACUUGUGGGAUCCUUCCAAGGUGGCUGGGACAGGGGAGUUCUGUGGAUCUCGUUUAUGAUUGCACUAAUCCCAUUCAGGAGGGCUUCACCGUCGUAACCUCAUCACCUCCUAAACGCCCCACCUUCUGACACCAUAAUGAGUGUAACGAUAUCCAGUGUGUGAGUCUGGGGGCAGCACAUUCAGGCCGUAGCCACUUUGUGCUGGGAGAUCCACUUCUUGGUGUAAGCGUGAGGAAGUCCCUAGGGUACCAGAAGGCCUCUUUUCCUAGGAAGAACGUAAAAGAGGAAGGACGGAAGGCAAGUCACAGCCCCUACUGCCACAGCAGUGCCCCGUGGUACUUACCGAUGUCCUCCUCUACCGUCUGUUCUCCGUUCUCAUGCCUUCAGCUGACGCCACUCCUGGACUUGGCUUUCCUCGCGGCAUGACCCAGACCGUCAUCUGCAAGAGGUCUGAGCCCCUUGUUUCCACGCUCUUUUCAGACAGUGCCUGCUUAACCUGUCCGUGGCCCAUCGACACUGGGCAAGAGGGAGUACCAAGAGGCACCCAACCAGACCACUUGGGUGCCAAACAUUCCUCCUUGCUGCCCACCGUGUGCCUGCAGCGUGGCCUCCUGAUGACCAGGGUCAGUCACUCUUACCUGCACGACUUCUCUCUCUGCGUGCCGGCCCCUCCGUCGCUCAAGUGCCCGGCUGGCAACUGUGGCUAAUAUUUCAGUGGGACUCCUGCUGUGUCCCAUGGUGAGGGCAUGCCCCCUUUUACAAAUUAGAACUAUCAACCUGGAGCAGCCAGAGUUGCAGGGACAAGAACAGUUUCCCAGGUGGGUCACUGAAAGAGUUUUAUUUGUAGGGGCCAAACUGUCAAAAUGAUGCAUGGAGUUAACAAUGGAGGUCACUGGCCCUGCAUUCUUUCGGGGCCUUAAGGAUGCCACUGAUUUCUGCCUUCCCCUUCCCCCGGAGCUGCAGGGCCAAUCUCAAAAGCUUGUUUCAGCCUUCCCGCUACCACAGUUGUGACGCCACAGGCCAAGGAACCGAUGUGGAGGUUCUGCCCACCUCCCUUGACGUCUAAUCUAACUACACAUUGAAGAAUCAGGGAGUUGACCGUUGAUGGGGUCCAUCAACCCCGGGACCCGAUACUUCAUUUAUUAUUGGGCCUCGUCUGCCCCCACUCUGACAGAGGCCCACAGUGACUCUGCAUCUCCUGGUUUCGGCCUCGGCUCAGUCCCCACGUUCAGCAGUCCUCAAAAGGGUUUUGCCUCCCGCAGACUCCACAGUCUCAGGCUGAAAACGGCCUCCGUUCCAGACGUUGGCCAAGGAAUCAUGGCUGCUCUUCAGGGCGACUGUCCUCGGCCACCUGAUUAUCUAUCCAUGAAUUCCUUUGAUGGUACAGAUUGAGGACUAACCCACCGGGGCUGCCCAUCUGUUUCACCCACCGGUGUUCUGUGAACCAUCUCUAAGGCUCACCAGGUGAACCUUCCUCCCCGACCCCUCGACUCGUUCACAAUAUGCAUAAGCACAGCCCUGUUGUGUCCACAUUGCUUGAAUAUCUGAACACCGAUACAUCAUACCAGCUUGUUUCUACUUUAUACCCCCCCAGUUCGCUGCUGGCAAGAGUUUUACAACCUGCGCGUCCCCAAACUACCUACUUUGUGCCAGGGGCUUUUCGUGCUCCAGCUGCUAUCAGUGCGGAGGUCUUCGUGGCCAGCCGGGUGGCCGAUCCAGCUCCUAACUCCUGUCUUGGUAUCCCCUCCCCCAACCCCUUCCAGUACAAACUGCCCCAAGUGGGACUUUCCAGGAAGCAGCCACCGAGGUGCAGAUUGCUCUGUAGGAGUGCUCUUGGGAUCAGGACCUGGGAGGGGAAGAAGGUAGGGUUAGGGGAAGAGAGACAUUGUCUGAGUUCAGGCAAGGCGGACUGGCUUUGUACUCCCACACUGAGCGGGCACUGGGUGUGGGCCGCCCAGGAGGGAGGGGGCUGUGACCUUGGGCAGGGCAGUCUCUGGCUGAGGCAAUUCCAAAGAGGGUUAAGUCGUUGAGGAUGGUGUUCCAGAAGCUGGGGGAACACAUCCCUUAGUCCUGCUGGGGGGCCUGGGGGGGAGGGGCAUCGCACCUUGCAUUACAUCACGUUCCCAUUGUCACAUGCAAAGAAACUCCUAGUAUUAGCCAGUAUCGAGUGCAUAUCGAGACCUUCCCAUGGGCCCCAAAUGCCUUUCCUAGCUUUUUUUUAGUCCAGAAACUAAUUAAGAAUCACUCAUUGCAUUUUGUUGUCAUCUCUAAAGUCUUUUUCAAUAAGAGCAGUCCCCC